GACGAACCACACAAACGUUAUUCGGAAUUACUGGGCUUAAAGGGUGCGUAGGCGGCGCAGAAAGUAGGGUGUGAAAUCCCUCGGCUCAACCGAGGAACUGCGCCCUAAACUACUGUGCUCGAGGGAGGUAGAGGUGAGCGGAACUUAGGGUGGAGCGGUGAAAUGCGUUGAUAUCCUAAGGAACACCGGUGGCGAAGGCGGCCAUCUGGACCGCAACUGACGCUGAGGCGCGAAAGCGUGGGGAGCAAACAGG
rnacentral:rRNA from 1 species